rnacentral:rRNA from 1 species
CCAGACUCCUACGGGAGGCUGCAGUCGAGAAUCUUCGGCAAUGGGCGCAAGCCUGACCGAGCGACGCCGCGUGUGCGAUGAAGGCCUUCGGGUUGUAAAGCACUGUCGAGGGGGAGAAAAGCCCGCAAGGGUCUGAUCUAUCCCUGGAGGAAGCACGGGCUAAGUUCGUGCCAGCAGCCGCGGUAAGACGAACCGUGCGAACGUUGUUCGGAUUCACUGGGCUUAAUGGGCGCGUAGGCGGACGGUCAAGUCAGGGGUGAAAUCUUUCAGCUCAACUGGAAAAGUGCCUCUGAUACUGACCGUCUCGAGGGAGGUAGGGGCAUGUGGAACUUCCGGUGGAGCGGUGAAAUGCGUAGAUAUCGGAAGGAACGCCGGUGGCGAAAGCGACGUGCUGGACCUCUUCUGACGCUGAGGCGCGAAAGCCAGGGGAGCGAACGGGAUUAGAUACCCCGGUAGUCCUGGCCCUAAACGAUGGGUACUAGAUUGUGGACUUAACAUGGGUUCCCAGUCGAAGCAAAAGUGUUAAGUACCCCGCCUGGGGAGUAUGGUCGCAAGGCUGAAACUCAAAGGAAUUGACGGGGGCUCACACAAGCGGUGGAGCAUGUGGCUUAAUUCGAGGCUACGCGAAGAACCUUAUCCUGGACUUGACAUGUGCGAAAGCGGUAGGAAGUAGGGGGCGGAAACGUUUCCCCAACGGUAUCCAGUCCGGAACCUACUACAGGUGCUGCAUGGCUGUCGUCAGCUCGUGUCGUGAGAUGUUGGGUUAAGUCCCGUAACGAGCGAAACCCUUGUCUCCAGUUGCCAGCGGGUCAUGCCGGGGACUCUGGAGAGACUGCCGGUGUUAAACCGGAGGAAGGUGGGGAUGACGUCAAGUCCUCAUGGCCUUUAUGUCCAGGGCUGCACACGUGCUACAAUGGCGUACACAAAGGGAAGCCAACCCGCGAGGGGGAGCUAAUCCCAAAAAAUACGCCCCAGUUCAGAUCGAAGGCUGCAACUCGCCUUCGUGAAGUUGGAAUCGCUAGUAAUCGCAGGUCAGCAACACUGCGGUGAAUGUGUUCCUGAGCCUUGUACACACCGCCCGUCAAGCCACGAAAGGGAGGAGCGCCCGAAGUCGUCUCACCAAGCAGACGCCGAAGGCGAAACUCCUGAUUGGGACUAAGUCGUAACAAGGUAACCAAGGGC